rnacentral:rRNA from 1 species
GCAGCCGCGGUAAUACGUAGGGAGCGAGCGUUAUCCGGAUUUAUUGGGUGUAAAGCGUGUGUAGGCGGUUUUAUAAGUCUAGGGUCUAAGCCCGGAGCUCAACUCCGGUUCGCCUUGGAAACUGUAAGACUUGAGUUUGGUAGAGGUAAAUGGAAUUUCUAGUGUAGCGGUGAAAUGCGUAGAUAUUAGAAGGAACACCAGUGGCGAAGGCGAUUUACUGGGCCAACACUGACGCUGAGACACGAAAGCGUGGGUAGCAAAUAGGAUUAGAUACCCUAGUAGUCCACGCUGUAAACGAUGGAUACUAAGUGUCGGGCAACCGGUGCUGAAGUUAACACAUUAAGUAUCCCACCUGAGUAGUACGGUCGCAAGACUGAAACUCAAAGGAAUUGACGGGCACCCGCACAAGCGGUGGAGCAUGUGGUUUAAUUCGAAGCAACGCGAAAAACCUUACCAGGACUUGACAUCUCUUUGAAACCUUAUGGAAACACUAGGCCUCUUCUUCGGAAGACAAAGAUGACAGGUGGUGCAUGGUUGUCGUCAGCUCGUGUCGUGAGAUGUUCGGUUAAGUCCGAUAACGAGCGCAACCCUUAUCCUUAAUUGCUAACAUUAAGUUGAGAACCUUAAGGAAACUAUCGGUGACAAGCCGGAGGAAGGUAGGGAUGAUGUCAAAUCAUCAUGCCCCUUACGUCCUGGGCUACAGACGUGCUACAAUGGCAGAUAUAAAGAGUCGCCAACUCGCGAGAGUGAGCUAAUCUCAAAAAGUCUGUCUCAAUUCGGAUUGGAGUCUGCAACUCGACUCCAUGAAGUUGGAAUCGCUAGUAAUCGUAAAUCAGAAUGUUACGGUGAAUACGUUCCCGGGUGUUGUACACACCGCUCGUCACGCCAUGGGAGUUGGUAAUACCCAAAGCUGUUAGCCUAACCAUAAUUUUAUGGAGGGAGACAUCUAAGGUAGGAUCAGCGACUGGGGUGAAGUCGUAACAAGGUAUCCCUACCGGAAGGUGGGGAUG